GGAUGUCGAUCAUACCAGCACUAAAGCACCGGAUCCCGUGUUGCAUUCCC
rnacentral:rRNA from 1 species